rnacentral:rRNA from 1 species
AUGAACGCUAGCUACAGGCUUAACACAUGCAAGUCGAGGGGAAACGAUAGAGAAAGCUUGCUUUUUCUAGGCGUCGACCGGCGCACGGGUGAGUAACGCGUAUCCAACCUGCCCAUCACUUGGGGAUAACCUUGACGAAAGUAAGACUAAUACCCAAUGACGUCUCUAGAAGACAUCUGAAAGAGAUUAAAGAUUUAUCGGUGAUGGAUGGGGAUGCGUCUGAUUAGCUUGUUGGCGGGUAACGGCCCACCAAGGCGACGAUCAGUAGGGGUUCUGAGAGGAAGGUCCCCCACAUUGGAACUGAGACACGGUCCAAACUCCUACGGGAGGCAGCAGUGAGGAAUAUUGGUCAAUGGACGAGAGUCUGAACCAGCCAAGUAGCGUGCAGGAUGACGGCCCUAUGGGUUGUAAACUGCUUUUAUAAGGGAAUAAAGUGAGUCUCGUGAGACUUUUUGCAUGUACCUUAUGAAUAAGGACCGGCUAAUUCCGUG